UUCAAUUUGGCAGAAAAAUGCAAUAAAUUUAGAAUUUAUUAAUGAAUUUCAGUUUAAAUUCAAUUGAAA
rnacentral:tRNA from 1 species